GACCUCUCAGGUGGCUUGGUGGUUAGAGCGUCCACCUCAGAUGCAAGAGGUCCCGGGUUUAAACCUCGGCAGAGUCA